GACUUGUUCAUUCUCUCCUCUCCAACAAUCGACGACUUUCAUUUUCUAUCUCCUUUCUCUCUGAAACCCUAGCAGCCACCACUACCAGAAAUAUGGUUUUAUGUUGGAUUAAAAGAUGCUUGAAACUCGAGGGCCAGCACAAGUUGGAGUCGUGGAUCCGUCUCAUCUAUUCCAAAUUUGUAGAUAUGAACACUCAUCCGAAACAACACACCAUUCCUUAAUCUAACGUGAAAGUCCAAAACACGCAUACAUGGCAUUGGUGUUAUUCAGUAUAUUUCUAUAAGCAAACAAUUCUUAUCAAUUUUGCAAUUAAAACACUAUGUUGGACCACCCUUGUUGCAUAGAGGUUAUACUGUACUAAGAUUCAUAAUAAGUUAUUCGUUCAUGGGCAUAAUUGUCUUUUUCCAUUCUCACUCGAUGCAGAAAAGAGUUACUGAGCAGAUACCUCUGGAUCAACUUACCAAUAAGAUCGGAGAUGGCACAUAAUUGACACAAUCAAUUUGUUUUAAGAAACAUGGGAGUAUAUUUAUUUUAUAACUUUUCAUCUCAUGGCAGAUGGCACAUCAAACUAUAUCUUGUUUCAGUUUUGAUUUGUAUUUGUUUCUUUGACUUAGUUUGACUGGGAAGGAGAUCUGCCCCUAUCAUUUGCACAGAGAGAUCUGGUAAAUUACGAAAUGCAUGUUCGUGGAUUUACUAGGCAUGGGUCCAGUAAGACAGAGUCUCCUGGUACUUACCUUGGUGUAGUGGACAAACUUGAUCAUUUAAAGAGGUCAAGUAUUGUUAUCAACCAAUUAAAAUUUCGUUCACCAAUGGAUUAAUUAAGAUUACAAACACCAAUUUCUUUCAAAAAACAGAAGAUCUAGAGUUUAAUUGGGUGAUUGAAGGUGAUGGAUGUAAACUUGAUUCUGGAACUCUCAGUCUACCAACAUUAGAGUUUAAUUAGGUGAUUGAAGGUGAUGUUGGUUCUUGAAACGAGACUCAAGAUAUCAUAUUUUGCCAUGGCUAGAAGCUUUGGAGGAAACGAGACUCAAGCAAAAGUAGACACACAAAGAGUUGUUGGCACAUAGUAAGCUAGAUGAUGCAAUUGUAUAUAAAUGAGUUCAUUUUUUUUUAUAACAUUUACUUACUAUUGGAAUAAUUAUUUGUAUUUGAUAUAUUAGUGAA